rnacentral:rRNA from 1 species
AGCGAACCGGGGGAACUGAAACAUCUAAGUACCCCGAGGAAAAGAAAUCAACCGAGAUUCCCCCAGUAGCGGCGAGCGAACGGGGAGCAGCCCAGAGUCUGAAUCAGCUUGUGUGUUAGUGGAACGGUCUGGAAAGUCCGACGGUACAGGGUGAUAGUCCCGUACACCAAAAUGCACAGGUUGUGAACUCGAAGAGUAGGGCGGGACACGUGGUAUCCUGUCUGAAUAUGGGGGGACCAUCCUCCAAGGCUAAAUACUCCUGACUGACCGAUAGUGAACCAGUACCGUGAGGGAAAGGCGAAAAGAACCCCGGCGAGGGGAGUGAAAAAGAACCUGAAACCGUGUACGUACAAGCAGUGGGAGCCUCUUUAUGGGGUGACUGCGUACCUUUUGUAUAAUGGGUCAGCGACUUAUAUUCUGUAGCAAGGUUAACCGUAUAGGGGAGCCGAAGGGAAACCGAGUCUUAACUGGGCGUUAAGUUGCAGGGUAUAGACCCGAAACCCGGUGAUCUAGCCAUGGGCAGGUUGAAGGUUGGGUAACACUAACUGGAGGACCGAACCGACUAAUGUUGAAAAAUUAGCGGAUGACUUGUGGCUGGGGGUGAAAGGCCAAUCAAACCGGGAGAUAGCUGGUUCUCCCCGAAAGCUAUUUAGGUAGCGCCUCGUGAAUUCAUCUUCGGGGGUAGAGCACUGUUUCGGCUAGGGGGUCAUCCCGACUUACCAACCCGAUGCAAACUGCGAAUACCGAAGAAUGUUAUCACGGGAGACACACGGCGGGUGCUAACGUCCGUCGUGAAGAGGGAAACAACCCAGACCGCCAGCUAAGGUCCCAAAGUCAUGGUUAAGUGGGAAACGAUGUGGGAAGGCACAGACAGCCAGGAUGUUGGCUUAGAAGCAGCCAUCAUUUAAAGAAAGCGUAAUAGCUCACUGGUCGAGUCGGCCUGCGCGGAAGAUGUAACGGGGCUAAACCAUGCACCGAAGCUGCGGCAGCGACACUAUGUGUUGUUGGGUAGGGGAGCGUU